AGCCUCUGCUAGAUUUAUUCAACUAUCACCAACAGUGACUUCAAUGAGAGUUCACAAUUCCCAACAAGAGCCACCAAAUAGAGAGAAACAGCCAGGCUGAUUAUGGAAGACUGACUUUUCCUCCUCCAUCCCAAUGAUUUUCAUAAUAAAGUGAAUGGAGGACAAGUAGAUGCCAUGAUUAAUGUCAAUCCUGAUAUGAAAAAGAAGAAAGAAGGCUGUCCUUUUAUUCAACAAGGCAUUGGAAUAAGUAUAAAGAUGUUUCAGGAGUCAGGAUAUGAACAAACAUUCCGGCAAGCCACCACUCAACGCACUGCAGCAUCUGUUUCACUAAAGAGCAAGAUUCCAAAGCUUAGAAUAUAUGCACCCAUGAGAGGGAGAAGAGGACAUUUUUUGCUCGGGGCUUGUACCUAGAGCAUGUGCAACAUUAGGAGUCUCCUAACAUCAGAAGAUGACAAGGCUAUUAGGCCUCAGAGAGCUUCACUGGCUUCAGGAGCAGCAUGAGCAGUCAGGGCAACAGCAGGACUGCUGGUCACAAGGACACAUGUGCAGAAGAAGGAUUCCCUGAUGAACCCCAAAAUCACUGAGGACAAAAUUGACAGGCCAAGUGCGUCCAAAGAAACACAGUUUUAUGACGAUUAUUGUU